UAUUAACCUUCUUCAGAGCGAUAUAAAUAAUCCAAAGCCAUCCAGGCGUCGCCCGCCGGCUCCUUCCCCCACCAGAGCGUUUAAGUUGCUCCAAUUACGCCCUCCACUUUCCGAAUGUGGGGUGCAGAGGGAGAACGUUAAAACACAGCCAAGCCUUCUUUGUAACCGAAUUCAUUAAUCUUCGUCCCGGGGGGAUGACAUUUCUGGUUCUGCCGUGUUUUUUCAAACAGGACAGAGACCAAGCGGUGCUCUGAACCGAAUGGACACAGAGCGGAAUUCUUCUAAAAGGUACCCACACAUCAGCUGGACCAAGGCAGCCCAUAAUUACCUCAAGCAGAGAGGAGGAGAAGAUGGGCCCCAGGAAGGAGGAGCAUGUCAACGGAAGGAGGAGUCGCCACUCUGUCUCCCUUGCCAAGAAUGAAACACUCAACUCUUCCAAGAUGCAAGACUCCAGAUCAGCCACUAAUCAAGCCAUGACCACUGGCAGACUGGCAAGGGUCGGUGUUAGAAGCAGGCAUCGUAAACAUUCAAAGCUGGCUUGGCUUUAGAGAAGUUUCCGGCCAUGUGACUCUGUCGCAGCAAAAACGCUGAAGAGUCUAGUGGUACCGGAAGGACCAACACAAUUUAUUGGACACCAGCUUCUGC
rnacentral:lncRNA from 1 species